AGUGAACGCUGGCGGUAGGCCUAACACAUGCAAGUCGAACGGCAGCACAGUAAGAGCUUGCUCUUACGGGUGGCGAGUGGCGGACGGGUGAGGAAUACAUCGGAAUCUACUUUUUCGUGGGGGAUAACGUAGGGAAACUUACGCUAAUACCGCAUACGACCUACGGGUGAAAGCAGGGGAUCUUCGGACCUUGCGCGAUUGAAUGAGCCGGUGUCGGAUUAGCUAGUUGGCGGGGUAAAGGCCCACCAAGGCGACGAUCCGUAGCUGGUCUGAGAGGAUGAUCAGCCACACUGGAACUGAGACACGGUCCAGACUCCUACGGGAGGCAGCAGUGGGGAAUAUUGGACAAUGGGCGCAAGCCUGAUCCGGCCAUACCGCGUGGGUGAAGAAGGCCUUCGGGUUGUAAAGCCCUUUUGUUGGGAAAGAAAAGCAGCAGGUUAAUACCCCGCUGUUCUGACGGUACCCAAAGAAUAAGCACCGGCUAACUUCGUG
rnacentral:rRNA from 1 species